CGUGAUCUUUACAUGAAGUGGUGAUUUAUCGAGAAAAAUGUGACAUGUGAAUCGUAACGAGAUCUGUGCAUGUAAUUCAUCGAAAGAAACCAUUCGGCCGGAUAGUUGUUACUUGUGUGGAAGCAUCCUUAUGUAAUGUACCUGCAAGUAUGCUAAAAUCAUCAUCUCCGGGGUUUGGGUUUGGCCACAAAGGAAACAACAUAAAAACAAAUCUAAAUAACAAUGGACAUCAAAAUUAUGAUAACCAAACUGCUCGGCUCUAGUUGUCUGCCAAAGUACAUUUUUGCACUAAUGGUUGUUGUUUUUUGUUUUGUGGAGACAAAACACAUGAACCGUGCAGAGAGGUUUA